rnacentral:rRNA from 1 species
UACGUAGGGGGCGAGGCGUUGUCCGGAGUUACUGGGCGUAAAGCGCACGCAGGCGGUCUGUUAAGUUUGGAGUUGACAGUUGGUGGCUUAACUGCCAAAGUGCUUCGAAAACUGACAGACUUGAGGGCUUCAGAGGGACACGGAAUUCCGGGUGGAGUGGUGAAAUGCGUAGAGAUCCGGAGGAACACCAAAGGCGAAGGCAGCCCCCUGGGUCAAAACUGACGCUCAUGCACGAAAGCGUGGGGAGCAAACAGG